AUACAUUUAAAGUGUAUUUAAAACACAUGGCUUCCCCAAAGGAUUCUUGGGACCUCUAAUUUACCCCUUACAGUUUUUCGAUUCUCCGCACUCUUAACAAACUCCAGUUCCCAGGAGUCAUUGAGGGAAGCCAUGUGUUUCAAAUGUAUGACCUAUAAGACAAACCCCCAAUUUGCUUCUCCCCCUCAAGGUAAAUUACAAGAUGCUGUUGUCUGCCGACAGUGUGCUACCAUGAGACCAUGGAUACCAUGCACGCCGUUAGGGAGAAGAUGCGCUGCCAUAAAGAACAAAAUGAUCUGCAUAAUCUUGAAAGUCUACAAAGGUUUCCAGCUGUGGCAGAAGGUCAUGGACUGCACGAAUGUGGAUGACAACAGGUGUGACCAAUGGAAUUUUGACAGGCGCACUGGCAAAAUGUACACAUUCU